rnacentral:rRNA from 1 species
AUUUUUACAAUGAAGAGUUUGAUCCUGGCUCAGGAUGAACGCUAGCUACAGGCUUAACACAUGCAAGUCGAGGGGCAGCAUGGUCUUAGCUUGCUAAGGCCGAUGGCGACCGGCGCACGGGUGAGUAACACGUAUCCAACCUGCCUUAUACUCCCGGACAGCCUUCUGAAAGGAAGAUUAAUACGGGAUGGUAUCACGAGCCAGCAUUUUCUCGUGAUUAAAGAACUUCGGUAUAAGAUGGGGAUGCGUUCCAUUAGAUAGUAGGCGGGGUAACGGCCCACCUAGUCGACGAUGGAUAGGGGUUCUGAGAGGAAGGUCCCCCACAUUGGAACUGAGACACGGUCCAAACUCCUACGGGAGGCAGCAGUGAGGAAUAUUGGUCAAUGGGCGCGAGCCUGAACCAGCCAAGUAGCGUGAAGGAUGACUGCCCUACGGGUUGUAAACUUCUUUUAUAAAGGAAUAAAGUGAGGCACGUGUGCCUUUUUGUAUGUACUUUAUGAAUAAGGAUCGGCUAACUCCGUGCCAGCAGCCGCGGUAAUACGGAGGAUCCGAGCGUUAUCCGGAUUUAUUGGGUUUAAAGGGAGCGUAGAUGGGUUGUUAAGUCAGUUGUGAAAGUUUGCGGCUCAACCGUAAAAUUGCAAUUGAUACUGGCAGUCUUGAGUACAGUUGAGGUAGGCGGAAUUCGUGGUGUAGCGGUGAAAUGCUUAGAUAUCACGAAGAACUCCGAUUGCGAAGGCAGCUUACUAAACUGCCACUGACAUUGAUGCUCGAAAGUGUGGGUAUCAAACAGGAUUAGAUACCCUGGUAGUCCACACGGUAAACGAUGAAUACUCGCUGUUUGC